CUAUGGUGGUUCUAUUUUGGUAUGCUACUAAUUAAGUUCUUUAUUUUGUACUACAAACUUGAGACACUAAAUUUAGACCACUUUACAUAAUUUUCUUUGUAUACAAACACUUGUUUUGUAAUUUCCCAAUUCAGAUUAUUUAAAUUGCUGUUCUUCAAGCAACUACACACCUUUUUUCCAAUUUUUACUUGUUAAUAGCAACUAUAAAACAAUGAAUGAGUUAAGUAAUAUUUGAAGAAUUAGUCUCAAGUUAUCUUGAAGGUACAAGCACUUGCUAUUCUCAUUUCUAAUAUAAAGAGUUUAUACCUUUUUUUGGUAUUGUUUUUCAGCUUUGAUUCCUGAGUCCCUUGUUAAUAUUUAUAUUGGAACACUUGAAUUGUCUUCAGAAUCAACCCUAUCUACUUCUCUCCUGUGUUGAAAAAACAGUGAUAUUCACAUUUUCCUAUUAAUAGUUUUAUGUAUCAUACAUCAUUAAAUUUAAUGCCCAUUUCUUUCCUGAUAUGUAUCUAAAUCAUCUGAGUGGGCCCCCUUUCUACAUUAGCUUCUCAUCCUGAUAUUUACACUUUCAUGAUUCAGUAGCUGAUUUUGAAUGGGAAAUUGGUUAGACCAAUCAGGAGAACUUUCAGUGACUUGAGAUUACCUUUGCAUAUACAGAGCAGGAUGCCAAGACCAAAGCAGAGAGAGGUUAAAAAUCCUGUGUAAGCAUCUUAGUCCCUGACCCUUCCUGCACUAUGCUGUUCUCUAUCGAUUUUAGUCUGUUUGUUUUUUGAUGAGCAGAGCACAGUUCACCCUGUGAACUUUUCACAUGAAUAUUAUGCAGGAAUUAGGUGCAGGCAUGUGAGAGAACAGCAGAAGGAGAUCAGCUUGGAGUGUGGGUAUGCCUUUAAAUAAAUGCCCAUCAGAAGUCUGAAUGAAGUCCUGAGGGAAUCCAAGGUACCAACCCUCAGAUUGGUUCACCACAAACUCUGCCCAUGAAGCACAUGGGGUCGAAUCAGAGCUGCAGCUGCAGGCCAACACCACAGCCACAGCAAUGCCAUAUUGAAGCCACAUCUGUGAUCUGCAUCACAUCUUGCAGAAUGCUGGAUCCUUAACCCACUGAGUGAGGCCAGAGAUCAAACCUGCAUCCUCAUGGACACUAUGUCAGGUUCUUAACCUGCUAAGCCAUAAGGCGAACUCCAUACACUUUUAAUUUAAACAGCACUCUUGAAGACAUUUGUAUUCAUUAUAUACAAUCCUAUAGAAGAGUCAUGCAGAAAUUUUCAUCCACAAUUUCAGGAAGAAAAAAAUGGGGGGGCUGUUUUCUUCACACUUAAAACAAACAAACAAACAAACAAACAAACAAACAAACCCCCCCCUAUAUUGUGAAUGGUUCUGUGAGCAGAAGAGGAGAGAAUUUUUAGCCCAGUAUAUGAGAAAAUGCUAAAGGUCAUUCUUCAAGUACUAAUCAAGUUGUCUUUGAUCAUCCUGGGAGUGCUCUGUUUUUAAUAUACCUGUAGCAUUUUUUAUUGAUUGCCUUCAUUCUCAAUGCAUUGAAUUUUAUUAUUUGCUUUUUUAGGGAUAUGUGACUUAUUUAAAAUCCAAAUUGUUGGAGUGCCCAUAUAAUGAUUUUGACAGAGACUCUCAAAAAGUAUUUGUCAGCUCUUAUUAUUUCUUUAAUGUAGUCUCAUAAAUUUACCACUCAAAUGUUCUGUUCAAAUGGGGAAUUUCAUAUAUUAACUUUUUUUUUUUUUUUUUUUUUUGCCUUUUCAGGGCCACACCUGCGUCAUAUGGAAGUUUCCAGGCUAGGAGUGUAAUCAAAGAUACAGCUGCCAGUCUACACCACAGCCACAGCAACACAGGAUCAGAGUCAUGUCUGCAACCUACACCAUAGCUCCCAGCAAUGCCAAAUCCUUAACCCACUGAGUGAGGCCAGGGAUUGAACUUGCAUCCUCAUGGUUACUAGUUGGAUCGGUUACCACUGAGCCACAAAGGGAAUUCCAAUAUAUCAACAAUUUUUAAAGUUGCAAUACCAGAUGAGCAUGAAAUACCCUUAUAUUAACAGUGCAAUAGGGCUGUAAUCACUAGAUUAUACAGGAUCCUUAUACACAACCUGGUAAAAUUAUAGUAAUUUCUCCUGCAAAAUCCACUGAUAAUUAAAUUAAUUCCAAGAAUAACAAUGACUAAAGGUCAUUUUUCCUGGAUAACAGAGAAUCUAUAAGAGUCUAUAAGAGUCUUUAUUGUAGCAUUCUUUUGGAACAGUAAAACAAAAAAAUGCAUAAAAUAUAUGAAUAAAAAAAAGGCUUGCAAUCAAAAGAAAACCACACAAACAUAUAUACACAUGCAUUAAAAUAGGGGAUAGAUACAUAACUUAAGUCUAAACAUAAAUAAUGAAACACCAGGCAAGCAACUGAAAUAUGCAUAGCUUGAUCCCAUUUCAAUUUUAAAAGCUGCAGUAUACACAUUAGACAAAUAAACUUUGGAAAUGUAUACACAGAACACUUAUUGAUCUUUUUUUCUGGAGUCAGGGUUACAGGAUGCUGUCAUUUUUGAAAUUAUGGUCUUCAAUAUGGAUUUUGUUUUAGUAGAUGUCUUAGUUUGACAGGGCUGCCAUAACAAAGUACCACAUAUUGGCUGGUUUAACAAUAGAACAAUUAUGAAGGCUACAAGUCUAAGAUCAAGGCGUCUGCAGGGUCGGUUUCAUCCUAGGCCUCUUUCCUAGGCUUGUAGAUAGCUGUCUUUUCCAUUUGUCCCAACAAGACUUUCCCUCUGUGUGUGUCUGUUUCCUAAUUUCCUCUCUUUAUGAGGACACCAGUCAUAUCAGAUGAAAGCAUAUAGUAAUAACCUCACUUUAACUUAGUUACCCUUUACAGAUCCUUAUCCAAAUACACUCACAUUUUGAGGUUCUGAGGGUUAGGACUUAAACAUAUGAAUUUUGGAGCAACAAUUUUCAGUCCAUAACAGUACAUAAUACUAUAGUGAUUAAAUAAAAAUGUGUCAUUAUGA